rnacentral:rRNA from 1 species
GGCGAAAGGGUGAGGAACACGUGGGCAAUCUACCUCUUAGUUGGGGACAACCUCGGGAAACUGGGGCUAAUACCGGAUAUGGUUAUUUAUCGCAUGGUGGAUUAAUUAAAGGUGGGGAAUCUUCGGAUCCUGCCGCUAAGAGAGGAGCCCGCGUCCCAUCAGCUUGUUGGUAAGGUAAUGGCUUACCAAGGCUUACGGGUAGCUGGUCUGAGAGGAUGGUCAGCCACACUGGGACUGAGACACUGCCCAGACUCCUACGGGAGGCUGCAGUCGAGAAUCAUUCGCAAUGCGCGAAAGCGUGACGAUGCGACGCUGCGUGGAGGAUGACGGCCUUAGGGUUGUAAACUCCUGUCAUUCAGGAAAAAUUCUCUGUGUAUUAAUACUACAUAGAAUUGAUGGUACUGAAAGAGGAAGCCACGGCUAACUCUGUGCCAGCAGCCGCGGUAAUACAGAGGUGGCGAGCGUUGUUCGGAUUUACUGGGCGUAAAGGGUGCGUAGGUGGUUUUGUUAGUCGGAUGUGAAAGCCCACGGCUUAACCGUGGAAUUGCAUUCGAAACUGCAGGACUUGAGUGUAGGAGGGGAGAGCGGAAUUCUUGGUGUAGCGGUGAAAUGCGUUGAUAUCAAGAAGAACACCGGUGGCGAAGGCGGCUCUCUGGAAUACUACUGACACUGAGGCACGAAAGUUGGGGGAGCGAACAGGAUUAGAUACCCUG